UCACCCCGUCCCCUGCUGCCACAGGGCUUUUGCAUGUGCUAUUCUCACCACUCCUACCGCCCACUCUGCUCAUACUCAUCGUUGGCCCUGAAGAGCCUUCUCAGACCUCUCUGACUGGAUCCGAGGCCCCUGCUAUUGCCUUUCCCAGCAAUAUGUUCUUCUCUCUCAUACAUUGGUCACACUUGCAAAUUUAUAUUUUGUAAAGACCUCCAGUCGGAACCCUGUAUCCUUUCUCCUUUCUUCUUUUUAGUGAUAGAACCAGCCCAGCUAGGGUCCUGCCCCAGCUUUCCUUGCAGCUGAUAUAGCCUCGUGACCACAUUUGGCCAGUCGAGUGAGAACAGAGGUGACCUGUACAGUGCCCAGGCAUCUCCUCCCCCAGGUCGCCCACUGUCAGGAAAUGACAACCACUGGAACAUCCGCUGUGGAUCCAGAGGUGGAGGCCACAUGCUGAGGAUGCAGGAGCCAACUCACCACAUGAGUCGCUGGCCGAGCUCUGGAAGCAGAGGACCUGCCAGCCCUAGACCACCCACCUCUGCUCUGUUACACAUGCAGACCCGGCUGAUGGUGGAAGCUCCGGACCUGCCGAGUGAGCCAGUGAGGGUUUCCUGCAAGAAGAAAGCAGCUCUGCUCAGCACAAGGCCUCAGCAAGCUGAGACGGAAUGAUCUUUAUUUCUAAAAAUAAUACCAACUUGGAUCUUGGAGCUGAUUCUCUCUACAGGACACCAGAAACCAUGCUGGGGGCAAGAGCAAAAUACAGAGCAGAUCGAGCCAAGCACGCAGGGAGUGACCCUUCCCAACUUGAGCAAGGACAGUGGUAGGGAGCAGCUGCUGGGAUGGCCGCUGGAAAACCUGAAAUGGAGUUACAGUGAGGAGUCCUCCCUAGGACAGAACCCACCCAUCCUGGGUUUUCAGUAACUCUUUGGAGGCCUUACAGGGUCUCACAGAUAUCCAUACAUUGCUGAAGACUUUGGUUCAAGGAGAAACCUUCUGGCGCUUUCUAGUGCCUUCUGGAGCUUCUGCAGAAGCUCCUGCCAAAUGAGAGGUGACCCCUUGCCUAUAUCACCAGAUUUCUAGCAGCUGGCCAGGUGGGGUCAGAGAGAAAGUCCAAGGGAGAAAAAAAGCCAUGGGCAGAGGAGCCUGAGAAGGUGGGAGAUGAACAUUAAGGACACAGGUUAUAACGCAUCAUGGACCAAAUAACUGAGUCACAAGGUGCCUGGCACAUUCCAUGUUCCAGUGGGUCUAGGCUCUAUCAGCAGAGACCCCCAAACAGUACAAACGUCCAACAAUAGCUGUGGCCCAUUCAUAAACUGGGACAUACUGGGGAGGGAGGGACAAACAGUCUUUUACUGCCCCAGAGACUCUCCCAGAGGCUGCAGGUUGCACAGAAUGGGCAUCGUCCUGGGAGCCAGACUCUGGGAGCCGACUCUUACCGGCUUUGUGACUUUGAGUAAAUAAUUAUGUCUUCCUUUGUCUCCAUUGUUCUCCUAUACAGCAGGGGUAAUAAUAAUUCUUGCCUAGGGGAGUUCCUGGGUGGCUUCGGCUCAGGGUGUGAUCCUGGGGUCCUGGGAUUGAGUCCCACAUCGGGCUCCACGCAGGGAGCCUGCUUCUCCCUCUGCCUCUGUCUCUCUCU